UACGGGAGGCAGCAGUGGGGAAUCUUGCACAAUGGAGGCAACUCUGAUGCAGCGACGCCGCGUGAGCGAUGAAGGUAUUCGUAUCGUAAAGCUCUGUUGAUGGGGAAGAUAAUGACA
rnacentral:rRNA from 1 species